ACGCUCGACACCUACGGAGGCAGCAGUGGGGAAUAUUGCACAAUGGGGGAAACCCUGAUGCAGCGACGCCGCGUGAGUGAAGAAGUAUUUCGGUAUGUAAAGCUCUAUCAGCAGGGAAGAAAAUGACGGUACCUGACUAAGAAGCCCCGGCUAACUACGUGGCAGCAGCCGCGGUAAUCUGAGCGGGCUGGCAAGGC
rnacentral:rRNA from 1 species